GUCCUCAGUAUUAUCAGGCUGAAAGCACCCGAUUUUGGUAGCUAAACUGCUCUGGAGCUGUGUAAUACUUGGACAGCAGACAUCCACUCCAGAUAAACUGAAGAAU
ensembl:rRNA 5S_rRNA 5S ribosomal RNA